rnacentral:lncRNA from 1 species
AUUCCCUCCGGACUGACCAAGAUUAGGCCCGCGCCUGUGCCCGACAUGUUGGAGGAUCCAUCCAUGUAGAGGGUCCAAAAGCAAUCAGGGGGGUCUGCUUCUUCUUCGGAGGAGUUCGGUCGGGGCUCCAGGCCGUCAAUUUCACCCUAUUCAGAUUCGGCCUCCUCUGAGAUAGUGCAUUCUACUAUAAAAUCUGCCAAUAUCUGAGCUUUCACCACCGAUCUGGAUCGAUAGUUGAUGUCGAAUUCUGUGAGCUCGAUCGCCCAUUUCGCUAUUCUCCCUGAGGCAUCUGCUCGGUGGAGAAUCGCCUUGAUCG